rnacentral:rRNA from 1 species
CACGCUGUAAACGAUGGGUACUAGGUGUGGGAGGUAUCGACUCCUUCCGUGCCGCAGUUAACACAAUAAGUACCCCGCCUGGGGAGUACGAUCGCAAGAUUAAAACUCAAAGGAAUUGACGGGGGCCCGCACAAGCAGCGGAGCAUGUGGUUUAAUUCGAAGCAACGCGAAGAACCUUACCUAGACUUGACAUCCCCUGCAUAGCAUAGAAAUAUGUGAAGUCCUUCGGGACAGGGAGACAGGUGG